GACGGAGGGUGCUAGCGUUGUCCGGAAUUAUUGGGCGUAAAGGGCUCGUAGGCGGUUUGUCGCGUCGGGAGUGAAAACCAGGUGCUUAACACCUGGCUUGCUUUCGAUACGGGCAGACUAGAGGUAUGCAGGGGAGAACGGAAUUCCUGGUGUAGCGGUGAAAUGCGCAGAUAUCAGGAGGAACACCGGUGGCGAAGGCGGUUCUCUGGGCAUGACCUGACGCUGAGGAGCGAAAGUGUGGGGAGCGAACAGG
rnacentral:rRNA from 1 species